ensembl:misc_RNA 7SK 7SK RNA
GGAUGUGAGGGCGAUCUGGCUGCGACAUCUGUCACCCUAUUGGUCGCCAGGGUUGAUUCGGCUGAUCUGGCUGGCUAGCCAGGUGUCCCCUUCCUCCCUCACCGCUCCAUGUGCCUCCCUCCCGAAGCUGCGCGCUCGGUCGAAGAGGACGACCUUCCUGCAUAGAGGAGGACCGUUCUUUGGUCAAGUCUGUAGGAGUAGCUGCGCUCCCCUGCUAGAACCUCCAAACAAGCUCUCAAGAAGGAGGCAGGAAGGAGUGUUCAAGGGAAGGGAGGAGGAGCAAGAACCUAAUACUUUAUAGCCUGUGAGACAUUUAGCUGUCAGACA